rnacentral:pre_miRNA from 1 species
AGUGCAAUUACUGGAUCAUAUGGUAAGAAUAUGUUUAAUUUUGUAAGAAACUGCCAAAAUGUUUUCCAAAGUGACUGUACCAUUUUGUAUUCUCACCAACAAU